rnacentral:rRNA from 1 species
AGUCGAACGGCAGCGCGGGGCAACCUGGCGGCGAGUGGCGAACGGGUGAGUAAUAUAUCGGAACGUACCCAAGAGUGGGGGAUAACGUAGCGAAAGUUACGCUAAUACCGCAUACGAUCUAUGGAUGAAAGUGGGGGAUCGCAAGACCUCAUGCUCCUGGAGCGGCCGAUAUCUGAUUAGCUAGUUGGUGAGGUAAAGGCUCACCAAGGCGACGAUCAGUAGCUGGUCUGAGAGGACGACCAGCCACACUGGAACUGAGACACGGUCCAGACUCCUACGGGAGGCAGCAGUGGGGAAUUUUGGACAAUGGGCGCAAGCCUGAUCCAGCAAUGCCGCGUGAGUGAAGAAGGCCUUCGGGUUGUAAAGCUCUUUUGUCAGGGAAGAAACGGUUGAGGCUAAUAUCCUCGGCUAAUGACGGUACCUGAAGAAUAAGCACCGGCUAACUACGUGCCAGCAGCCGCGGUAAUACGUAGGGUGCAAGCGUUAAUCGGAAUUACUGGGCGUAAAGCGUGCGCAGGCGGUUUUGUAAGUCUGUCGUGAAAGCCCCGGGCUCAACCUGGGAAUUGCGAUGGAGACUGCAAGGCUUGAAUCUGGCAGAGGGGGGUAGAAUUCCACGUGUAGCAGUGAAAUGCGUAGAGAUGUGGAGGAACACCGAUGGCGAAGGCAGCCCCCUGGGUCAAGAUUGACGCUCAUGCACGAAAGCGUGGGGAGCAAACAGGAUUAGAUACCCUGGUAGUCCACGCCCUAAACGAUGUCUACUAGUUGUCGGGUCUUAAUUGACUUGGUAACGCAGCUAACGCGUGAAGUAGACCGCCUGGGGAGUACGGUCGCAAGAUUAAAACUCAAAGGAAUUGAC